GGAGGUUGGCAUGUCCUUUUCACUGCCUGACAUCUCCUACUUAGUUUUAUUCCUUUCCUGCUGUAGCUAACCUAAACUUGCCCAAGCACUUAUGCAGUGUCUUGCCUGGGAGAAGAGGGAAGCUGCCACGUGUGGCCCCUUGUACUCACUAUUGUUACCACCUCUCCCCUCACUCCCUCCAAACCACCAAACAAUUCCUAGUUCUGUCUACUUUUUCUCAGCGUACUGCAGCAUCUCUCACUAUCAACCUGCAGAUGAAUGCAGGCAGUGGAAUCUGCAACAGAAAGCUCACCGUUUCCAAGCCCUUCCCAACACUGCUUGACCACCCCAGCCCCCAUCUCUUGCUGGCACAGCACUGAAGGGAUCCAUGCAAAAGGAGUCAUCUGCUUAAGAAGCAGGAUGCCCAGUUCAUCUUGCUGCAAUCAACAUUACCUUGAAAAGGUUUAUUUGUUUAGAGAGGAAGCAGGAAAAAAAUAAUUUACUCACUGAUGUCCAUGAAACUAACAAGCAGCCUGUCACUUCCACAUGCAAAGAACUGCUGCAUCUCCAAACUUGCCCAAAAAAAUCAGAGAACUGGCUCUAGUCUCACUUUACAAUAAACACACAAUACCAAACAAUGGAAAUUCCAUGUCCUACUUUCUCUUAAUUUCAGCAGCCUGAUUUAUCUAGAUAUCAGUUCCUUUUUCUCAUGAAUAAACAACAGAUCCCAAAUGCAAGGUUUUGUAACAGACAUUUGGGACACUGAGGGCGGACAAAAGCUCCUACUUACUCAAAAGCACACUUCUGGCCUGUGUACAGCAAGAAAUAAACCUUCCCUCACACUGGUCUACUUUGAUGCUGGUCUGUUCUAAGAGACUUGCAAAAUGGUAAGGAAAAGCAGUUAACGCAGAGUGCAAGUAGAGGUCUACUUUCAAAAGAAAAGUAGGAUACUUAACAGCAUCUCAAACAAGGACAUCUAUGUUCCCCAGGCUCACAGACACCUUCCACAAGAGUUAGAGAUGGUUGAUGAUUCCAGGCUUUCUUGCAAAAAAACUAAAUCAGAAGCACUCAUGUCAGCAUUUAGGUUUGUGAACACUUAGAUGCAUGACAGACCAAACCACAUCCGACUUGCCACAGGACUGCUAACUGGGCGACAACUAUUAGUUAAAGACUUCAGCAUGGGAUCAAUUCCCAUUGUUCCACAAAGAGCAAAUCUGAAGCCAGAUUACAAAACUGACCACUGGAUGCCAGCUAUGGUGAUGCAAAUCUCACCCUCAGAGUGAGUCCCACACACUACUGCACUUUCCUGCAGUCCCC
rnacentral:lncRNA from 1 species